UACGGAGGGAGCAAACGUUGUUCGGAUUUACUGGGCGUAAAGGGUGUGUAGGCGGUCUUGCAAGUCAGGGGUGAAAUCCCUCGGCUCAACCGAGGAACUGCCUUUGAGACUGCAGGACUUGAGGGCGUGAGAGGAGACUGGAAUUCCUAGUGUAGCGGUGAAAUGCAUAGAUAUUAGGAGGAACACCAGUGGCGAAGGCGGGUCUCUGGGCCGAUACUGACGCUGAGGAGCGAAAGCGUGGGGAGCGAACAGG
rnacentral:rRNA from 1 species